rnacentral:rRNA from 1 species
CCUACGGGUGGCAGCAGUGGGGAAUAUUGGACAAUGGGCGAAAGCCUGAUCCAGCCAUGCCGCGUGUGUGAAGAAGGCCUUCGGGUUGUAAAGCACUUUCAGUGGGGAAGAAAGCCUUGGGGCUAAUACCCUCGAGGAAGGACAUCACCCACAGAAGAAGCACCGGCUAACUCCGUGCCAGCAGCCGCGGUAAUACGGAGGGUGCGAGCGUUAAUCGGAAUUACUGGGCGUAAAGCGCGCGUAGGCGGUCUGAUAAGCCGGUUGUGAAAGCCCCGGGCUCAACCUGGGAACGGCAUCCGGAACUGUCAGGCUAGAGUGCAGGAGAGGAAGGUAGAAUUCCCGGUGUAGCGGUGAAAUGCGUAGAGAUCGGGAGGAAUACCAGUGGCGAAGGCGGCCUUCUGGACUGACACUGACGCUGAGGUGCGAAAGCGUGGGUAGCAAACAGGAUUAAUACCGAGUAGUC